AGAGUUUGAUCAUGGCUCAGGAUGAACGCUAGCUACAGGCCUAACACAUGCAAGUCGAGGGGCAUCGGGAGGGAAGCUUGCUUCCCUUGCCGGCGACCGGCGCACGGGUGAGUAACGCGUAUCGAACCUGCCCCAUACCCGGGGAUAGCCUUGCGAAAGUAAGAUUAAUACCCGAUGGUUUCCCUUUGCCUCCUGACAAAGGGAAUAAAGAAUUUCGGUAUGGGAUGGCGAUGCGUCCGAUUAGCUAGUUGGCGGGGUAACGGCCCACCAAGGCGACGAUCGGUAGGGGUUCUGAGAGGAAGGUCCCCCACAUUGGAACUGAGACACGGUCCAAACUCCUACGGGAGGCAGCAGUGAGGAAUAUUGGUCAAUGGGCGGAAGCCUGAACCAGCCAAGUAGCGUGCAGGAUGACGGCCCUACGGGUUGUAAACUGCUUUUUAGGCGGGGGUAAAGGGGCGGACGCGUUCCGCUUUUGCAAGUACCGCCAGAAAAAGGACCGGCUAAUUCCGUGCCAGCAGCCGCGGUAAUACGGAAGGUCCGGGCGUUAUCCGGAUUUAUUGGGUUUAAAGGGAGCGUAGGCGGGCUAUUAAGUCAGCUGUGAAAUCCGGCGGCUCAACCGUCGGCCUGCAGUUGAUACUGGUGGUCUUGAGUGCGCGCAGGGGCGUUGGAAUUCAUGGUGUAGCGGUGAAAUGCUCAGAUAUCAUGAAGAACUCCGAUCGCGAAGGCAGAUGCCCGGAGCGCAACUGACGCUGAGGCUCGAAAGUGCGGGUAUCAAACAGGAUUAGAUACCCUGGUAGUCCGCACAGUAACCGAUGGAUAUUCGCGGUUCGGCUUUAUAGCGGAGCCGCUCAAGCGAAAGCGUU
rnacentral:rRNA from 1 species